GACGAACGCUGGCGGCGCGCUUAACACAUGCAAGUCGAACGGAAAGGCCUGCUUUCCCUUGUGGAUUGCGGGUACUCGAGUGGCGAACGGGUGAGUAACACGUGAGUGAUCUGCCCCCAACUUGGGUAUAAGCCUGGGAAACUGGGUCUAAUUCCCGAUAGGACUGCAGGGUGGUGCCUGUGGUGGAAAACGAUUUGCUAGUGGUUGGGGAUGAGCGCGCGGCCUAUCAGCUUGUUGGUGGGGUAAUGGCCUACCAAGGCGGCGACGGGUAGGCGGCCUGGGAGGGUGGACGGGCGCAUUGGGACUGAGAUACGGCCCAGAAUCCUACGGGAGGCAGCAGACGGGAAUAUUGAGCAAUGGGCGGAAGCCUGAUGCAGCGACGCCGAGUGGGGGAUGACGGCCUUCGGGUUGUAAACUCCUUUCGACAGCGAGGAAGCCACCUGGUUGGAAGGGUGGUGACGGUAGUGGUAGAAGAAGCACCGGCUAACUACGUG
rnacentral:rRNA from 1 species